GCGCGCCCGACACUAAAGGCUGGCUAAACCCCUUCUCGCGCCUGCUCGGGGAGCGACGGUCGGCGUCGGGGUAACCCCUGGGGCAAGGGUCCUCCUCCGGGUCAAAGCGCACGGUCUAUCCGCGCCCCUGACACAAGCACUUUCUCAGGGAGAGUCUGGGGGCUCCCCCGAAACGCGGGCUACUGGGAAGAAGUGAGAAGAAGGAGGCAACUCACCUCCUGUCGCCCAGAUCGCCUCGGGAUCCCGAAGUUCAAAUGUAGACUCCAACUGCGGAUCCGUGCGUCUCUUUUUAGCUUUAAUCACUGAAAAAGCUUUCCAGCUUUUAACAUCAUGAAAUGGCAGCAUCUGUUGGCCCAGCCUGGUACUACAACAAAGUUCUACAAGACAAUGAAGAACAGAGGAAAAGUAGAACAAUGUAAGACCCUCAAAGAGCCUGAAAGGGGCCUGCUCUAGAGAGCGCUGGUGAUGCAGUGAUGCAAUGCUCAGAAGGUGGUUCCCAGCACUGUAGACAUGAAAUAUGUCAGGCCUGUGCACGAGCACUCAGAGCCAAUGAGUUGGAGGACUUCAGGAGUGGAGGGAGGUGAUCAUGGCAUGACUGGAUCCUGUGGAGAAUUGUAAUGAAGAAGCACUAUGCUAAAGAUCCAGAGCCCUGGUAUAAGGCCCACUUCUGUCACCAUUUGUUGUCACUUAACCUGCCAGUGUUCACUUUCCUGAUAUGCAGAAGGGGAUCCAGCUCAGGAAUUUAUCUCAAAGGUCCAGCUUAUCAUGGGUGUGUGAAUAUGGCUGUUGAUCAGAUGGUGUCCUGUAACAACUAGCAAGUGAUGGGGGGGAGAGUGAGAGUAUAGCAUCCUUUGUUUUUCAUUAACAACUUGCUAAGAGAAAGAGCAAGAAUGGAGAAGAUUAAAUCCAUAUACAACAUACAUUCUGUAGAGAUUCUGGACAGUGAAGCAUUACUAACAGGGCAAUGGAGAAUAGGCAGUACAAGAGUCAUUCGUUUACAUCUCAUUUUCUGGGACCUGUUACUUUCUUGGACUUCAAUAAAGACCACAGUUCCCAUAGUAGUUUUCAAUCAGCCAGUUCCUUUCUUUCCUUCUGUCAAGGAUAGCAGAGAUGGCUUCAAACCAAGAUCUGCAAAGUCAAGUUAACUAGACGUAUUCAACGUCUUCCUUCUCUGAGUGAUUUGUUCUUCUUGGCACCAAAGACUUGACUUUUGUCUUUCAACAAAAAUGUUGCUUCAUCUUCAUAGGUUUUCGAUACUGUGAUUCCUUUCCUUCUCCUUCCUACAGUUAACUUUCCACUUUAAAA